rnacentral:rRNA from 1 species
UACGGAGGGAGCUAGCGUUGUUCGGAAUCACUGGGCGUAAAGCGCACGUAGGCGGCUUUGUAAGUUAGAGGUGAAAGCCCGGGGCUCAACUCCGGAACUGCCUUUGAUACUGGCUAUCUUGAGUAUGGAAGAGGUAUGUGGAACUCCGAGUGUAGAGGUGAAAUUCGUAGAUAUUCGGAAGAACACCAGUGGCGAAGGCGACAUACUGGUCCAUUACUGACGCUGAGGCUCGAAAGCGU